rnacentral:lncRNA from 1 species
AGUGUCCAAAAUAGCUUUCUUUGAAUUCUGCAUCGUGUAGAUGCCAGUCUUAUAAUGGAUCUCUCAGUCACAUCAACGCCCGAGUCUAUGGUGAUGAUAAUGUUUGUGCAAAGUGGAUGCCAAGUGACUGCACAAUCAAGGUUUCUGAGUAGUUGAAAUAGAUAAGUCUUGAGUCAAUCAGUACAUCUGUACCACAUUCAUGUGGCAAAUGCUGCUUUAUGGAGAUGUUUCUAAUACUGACCUACAAUAAUUCAGCCAAGAUCACGUUUCUACUGUCUUCAGGAAAUGAGAAAAAUGAAUCCAGGAAAUUUCCAUCUUUAACUAUACUCUGUAAAUGUGCUGUCCAAUACACAGAUAGCUACUGAGCACUGGAAUAUAGCUAGUCUGAAUGGAGAUGUUCUGUUUGACUUUUUUGGACUCCACAUGUGUGAGAUCAUGCAAUAUUUGUCUUUCUGUGCCUGGCUUAUUUCACUUAGCGUAAUGUCCUCCAGGCUCAUCCAGGUUGUUGCAAAAGGCAGGAUUUUCUUCUUUUUUAAGGCUUGGAGAGUCAUUUGUUUUCAUAAGAGCGAGCAGUUAAAGUGAAAACAAGAUCACGGAAAAGGAGAUAUAUUUUGGUAGAUCCAAGAAUCUAUGUUUGAUAGAGUCUUCACAGAAAGAGUCGAAAUUGACAACAUGCUUAUUGCUUUGGCUUUGGAUGUUGGUUGGGAACAUGGUUCUUGAAUAUCCACACUUCAAAGUAGAUCUUACUUUUUGGAAGAGUAGAAAGCUCAUUACGUUGGUUAAUUUGAGAAGUAAGACAAGGGCUCAGAAAGGUACUAGUUAUUAGUACCUUAUACACUAGCCUGCCUGGCAUUCUUACCAUGACAGUGAAUUGUCAUGGUAAGAGUUGUGGUUUUAAACCUCUUUUCCCCAGAUGUUACAUGGAGUAAUAUAUGUAUCCACAUACAUAUUAAAGUAGGAGGUAGAUAUUAUAUUGACUGGUGACUUGAGGACAUGAUACACAAAAUAGGUAACGUUUGAUGAAGCUUGAAAUGAGCCAAGAAAGGACAAAUCUGGAUAACACACUGUAGCCUUGGUGAUGAGAAAGGAGAAAGGAAAGAUAAUGAAGAUGGGUAUCAUAUUGCUUUGCCUUGAAUUUGCAGAAAGAGAUAUUUGGAUUAUGAUGUUACCUUAAAAAAGGCAGUUGAUAUUACUCAGUGAAAGUUCAGAAGCCAAGAAAACUAUGUGUGUGUACAUAUAUGUAUAUAAUGUACAUAUGUUUAUUUCUUUUUUUAAAAAAUUCUUACCUACCUCUCUACUAUAACAAAAUUAAUUUCAUUCUUUUUUGUUGCAUUUAAACUUUAUCUUGGUAAUGUUCAUAUUACAAAUUUGCCUAUAUUGUUGGUAUUAUAUUGUUACUAUAUAGAUAUAUUUGUAAGCAUAAAUGCUUGGUAUUCAAAUGUUUAACUAGUAAUAUUCAUAUUACAAAUUUGCAUAUAUGUUUGGUAUGAUAUUGUUACUAUAUAGAUAUGUUAUAUUUGUAAGCAUCAAUGCGUGGUAUUCAAAUGUUUAACAACUCUCCAUUUUUUUCUCAAGUAACCCUCUGACAAAAGGCUGUAUUUAUAUAAAACUGACAGAUUUUUAUGGUGGAUCAUUUUUCUUACAUUAAUUACAUAGGUAGUAUUAUUUUAGUUGGAGGUCAAAUAACAUACUAUCAAUGACAAUUUAGAGAUAAAUUGUUUGAAAUCCUGAUAUGGAAGAGCUAUAGAAAUAACAUGGGUGACCUCACGUUUUUAAGAUAGCCUCUCUGCACCAUAUGGCUAGUCCCAAAUGGAGAUCAAGAAAGCAAGGUCAUUUUUAAUCUCUACAUACAUCUUGCUUUCCUGGUUUAACACUAAUCAUUCAUUGUAUUCUGCAUAUUGGAAGGGAGCAGAUGAAGGAUACUAAGAAUUCACUUUGAAAACAUGUACUCAAUGUUUCAUAUCCAAAAACUCCCAGGGAUUAAACAAUCAGAAAACCCUACAUCAUUUGCAUUUUAAUGGAUACAAAUAAGAGUUGAAACAUUUCUUUACACUUAAACUACCAUGAACAAGCUUAUAUAGCUAUUAGGAGUGAAAAUGGGGAGGAGGAGGAAGAAGGGGACUCUGAAAUUUAAGGAAAAUUCAUUUCUUUUACAGAGUUGGAGCUAGGCUGAUUAAGUCAAGGUGCCUAACUCUGCUAGAGACACAUUUUCCUAAUGAAAAAUACUGUAACUUCAGACUUUUCACAUUUUCCAUGAAUAGAUGUCAUUACUCAUUAUCACAUUUAUCAUUACUUGUAAAACAAUGAGGUGGCAGCAGGGGGGGAAAGGACUAAAAUAGAAUUGAAAAAAAAAUUGGUACUAGCUAAGGUAAUUUAAAUGAAGCUUUUUUUUUUCCAGAAGCAAAGGUGACCUCCAUGAUUACUCCACCAUACCUUUGGGAAACUGACAUAAGAUAGUGGACAACUAUAAUGGAAAGAAUAGUGACUACGGUUUCUCUCCACCCUCCUCUAAUUCUGCAUUAGAAAUGAAAAAAAGCUUGACUGGUAAAAUUCUGAAACAGACAAUGAGCUAUUUAAGUGAUAAUUACUGAAUCUCAUUUUUAGAAGCCCAUUAACAGGUAUCUCUUUAGUCAUGAGAAAAUUAUUCAUAAAUAUUAAAUUGUGUGAUCACAUUGCAAGUUUCUUUCAAAUUAUAGAAUCUGACUAAUUUCACAGUAACUGUUUGCCAUUAAUUGGCUUUAAGAUUUAAUCAAGUAAAGACAUCAUUGUUUAAUUCUAAUUUGUAAAGCCAAAAAAAGUGUAACAUUAUUAUCUUUAGUCAAACUUCUUCAAAUGUUUAUGCAAGGUAGAAAUUGAAAACAACAGGUACUCCUGUGCUUACAGUUUCUCCAGUUCAAAGAACAAAAUUCAUCAAUGGGAAGCUGCAGUGGAUUGUAGAGUAAAAUCUUGCUGCCCAACUAGAGAAUAAAAAGAGUUUGACCAGACUUAUAACAAUGACAUAAUGGCCAUUUUGUUGAGUUCUUAAUGAGUUUAGUAGGUAGUGAAAUGGGAAAGGUUCCCUUGUCCCCCUUGCAGGGUGUGUGGUGGGGGUGUAGCUUGCUUCUUCAGUGCCCCACUGCUCAAACUUCUAGGGGAGCAUACAGAUGGGCAGGUUGUGGGGCUCCAACCCCACGGCAGUGUCUAGGGGUGAAUGUUUACAGCUCCUGAAGUGCCAGUGGGCGUGUGUUACAGGGUGCUCUGUUAGUUUGCCCUCUCUAGGCAGCUUGUGUUAACCAGCUCAGUUGGACUUUGUUGCAAGGAUAGAAGACUUUCUGUAUCUCCAGGUUCUUGCCUUGGUGUACCAGAAGAAUCAAUCACACAUGGUCUUGGAGAAUGAGUGCAAAGUUUUAUUGAGUGCAGGUAGCUCUCUGCUGCUCUUCCACCAGUAUGCUCUCCACAACCAGCCGCUUGUGUGUUCUUCCACUGAUGUGUCCUCUCAAUGUCCAGACGCUUCUGUCUCUGCCUUGCUAGGAUCUUGGGCUUUUAUAGACCUUGGAUGGGGAGGUGGUGAGCCAGGGUGGUCUUGGGAAAUGCAACAUUUGGGCGUGAAGUCAGGAGUGCCUGUUCUCACCUAGGUCCGUGGGGGUAAAGCCCUAGCUAGGGACCAUGCCUUCCUCUACCCAGCACUUCCCUUCCUCAUUCUGUAUCAUUUAAAGAGACCACACUCCUCCCUUCCCAGCACUCCUGUAUCAGUAGGAAGAUAGAAGAAAACUCUAGAUCACCAUCAAGUUCAAGUCAUUUCAGAUUUUCAGUGAAUAUAUGUUUGCUGUGUCCUUCAGGUACCAAGAUGCAGGGAAAUGAUUAAAAGGCCCUGAGAUAUACAAUACUGAAUGGUAGGGAGGAGGAGGCCUUCUAGGUUGGAAAGUCCCGUAGCUGACUAGCUACUAAAUGUUCUAUCAGCUAUUGAUAAGACCGUGUUCAGAACAUACGGAAAUUGUAGGAUAUAAUUUUUGUAUGUUACUUGUCACCAGCUGUUCAAUAUUAUGAAUUAUUCCUGAGACAUUACAGAAGUUGAGAAUGAAUUGUGCCCAUAAACAGAAAACAUAUUAACCUAUACAAUACACUCGUUUUCCUUUUAGAGACACGAAUACCCCUAGCUCAAGGAGUCGAUAUGUAUAAAAUAGGCAACUAGGGGCAUGCAAAUAUUGUGGAAAUGGUGUUUCUGAUUGGCACUGGCAGAUUUAUUAUUCGAAAUAAUCCUGUUGGCAAAAAAAGGAAAUUUUUUUUCCGUAUCAUAAAAUCUGAUUUCAAAAACUUGCUCCUUUUUGACUUUCUCUAUAAGCUUGUAAGUCUGCAUUCUUCUCUCAUUUUUAUAUCCAGGCUCUAUUGUAAUUUAUCUGUUGCUAACCA